CACGUGGCGCGGGAUGAUGCGCGUCUUCUUGUUGUCCCUCGCCGCGUUCCCGGCCAGCUCCAGCACCUCGGCGGCGAGGUACUCGAGGACGGCGGCGAGGUACACGGGGGCGCCAGUGCCGACGCGCUGCGCGUACCGGCCCUUCUUGAGGUAGCGCCCGAUGCGGCCGACGGGGAACUGCAGCCCAGCCUUCACGGACCGCGACACCGACUUCUUCCUGGGUCCGCCGGCCUUGCGCCCGGCCGCUCCCUUCUUCACCUUCCCCGUGGCUCCGCUGGCGUCCAUGGCUGCUCGCUUCUGCGCUUCGGGAAAGCUUCGGAGGAGAGAAAAAUUGGGGAAUCUGGGCGCGAGAGUUUGAGUGGGUUGAUGCCUCCGAAAUGCAAAGAGGGGAUGUAUUUAAAUGGCGCGGGUGGGGAGAGGUGGUAGGCCCGUCGAUCCGCGGGCGAGGAAAUGGACGGUCAAUUCGGGAGGGGUUUGGACGGCUGGGAUGGUGUUUCAGAGGGGCGAUCCGCGGGAGGGAUAGCUCAGCCAAUAAGGUGCAAGCAAAUAAGCGGAAGCGACAGCGCUUUUGAACAGCUGUUUUUGAACAGGUAUAUACGCAAAUGAUGAUCAUUGUUGUAGCACACUACAGUACAAUGUUCUUGAGGUGCUCAGCAAAUUGUUGUUUUGACACUGACCAUUAUACUUUUGGGCACAUAUACUCUGAUUUAUGAAUCUAAUGCGACCAUUUUAUGUGUUAAUCCUUAUUGCGUUGGCGCAUAUUAGUUACCACUUAAAACUAUCUCUUUGUAAAGAAAGCGAAUAGUUUUUUUUUUCUGGAUUUAUAAAUCUAGAAAAGUCAAAACGACUAAUAAUUUGAAAUUGAGUCAGUACUAUUUAACAUAACUUAAUUUAACACUAGCCUUUGAUUCAGAAUAAUUGACAGCUUUGACUAUGUUAUUGAAUAUUUGACCACGCUAUGAGUAUUUAUACAAAUAGCUACAAACAUAUAACAUGCUUAAAUUAUUUUUAUAACAAAUCAAAUGGUAAUAACUAAAUAUCUAAACAAACAUGGUUAGUUAAAGCAUGAGCAAUAAAAAGUUAAAGUUGCCAAUCAUUCCCAAAUGGAGGCUAGUAGUUUAAAGGUAAUCGUUAGUUAAAAUCUAAAAUAGUACUAAAUUCAAUAUUAUUUUGUUUGGAUGAAGCCAUAUGAUAAGGCAAUGCACCCAAGAGGUAAUAUCACCUGGAAAUUAUCCGCUGAACAAAAUCUAAACAUAACAAUAUCCCAUAAUUUAUUUUGCUUUUAAUUUUUUUUUUGGAUUUUUGAGAAAUUGGAACAUGAGGCCCAACCUCAUGGAAUUUGUUUUGGUGUCACUUUCUCAGCUUCAAAAUUGUACUUAAUACCCUUUAUGUUCCAUCCAACGGCAAAGCACGCAAAUACUCAAUGAAAUUGCUGAAUUGCUAGCAAUCGAUGGUGUCAGGCUGUCAGCUAUAUGUGCACAUUUGAAACUUCGUUUGUCUUCCGGGAAUCCUAUUUGCUACUUUAUUUCUUUUUCGAGAAAGUGAGCAUGAAACAACUGUUUAUUCACUUGCUCUUUUGCUCGAGGAAGAAUUGCAGACAUCAAAAGCCCCGUUUGGAUACUCCCUACUAAAGUUUAACAUCUGUCACAUCGGAUGUUUGAAUGCUAAUUAGAAGUAUUAAACAUAGACUAAUUAUAAAACUAAUUGCACAGAUGGAGUCUAAUUUGCGAGACAAAUCUAUUAAGCCUAAUUAGUCCAUGAUUUGAUAAUGUGGUGCUACAGUAAUUUGCUAAUGAUGAAUUAAUUAGGUUUAAUAGAUUCGUCUCGCAAAUUAGCACAGGGUUCUGCAAUUAGUUUUAUAAUUAGCUCAUGUUUAGUUCUUCUAAUUAGCAUUCGAACAUCCGAUGUGAUACAGCUAAAGUUUAGCACCUAGUAUCCAAACACCCCCUACUAAUUCCAUGGCACCACAAGGAGAAUGAUGCUACAGCGGAGAGCAUGAUCUGCCGAACAACUGUUGCCGUUCUUGUCUUCAAUCAGACUCUAAACUGCUGCCAUUCGGCGGUUGCUAGAAAAAAAAUCGUUGUCAUCUUGUCUGCAAUUACACAUUUAUACUCUAAUCUACAGUAAGCAGAUUUAUGUGGACCCUGAUUGCAAAUCUGGGGCAAGAAACGAAACAUCAAAUAACACUCUGCAAGUAACAAACUCUGGUUUCUGAAUUCUUCUUCCAGCUAGAUGCACAGAUCACAAAGCCACAGUAAGUACACUACAUCAGAAGCCAUCCCAUCUACAGAUCUACCAAACAGGAACAUCCAACAGCAUGGCACUAAUGGAGAGCCUCUCUAGGCCUUCUUGGGGGACUUGGCGCCCUUCUUGGGCGACUUGGCCUCCUUGGCGCCGCCGCUGGCCGCCUUCUCCGCUACCUUCUUGGGAAGCAGCACCGGGUUGAUGUUGGGGAGAACGCCGCCGUGGGCGAUGGUGACGCCGGCCAGCAGCUUCCCAAGCUCCUCGUCGUUGCGGAUCGCCAGGAGCACGUGGCGCGGGAUGAUGCGCGUCUUCUUGUUGUCCCUCGCCGCGUUUCCGGCGAGCUCAAGCACCUCGGCGGCGAGGUACUCGAGGACGGCGGCGAGGUACACGGGAGCGCCGGUGCCGACGCGCUGCGCGUACCGACCCUUCUUGAGGUAGCGCCCGAUGCGGCCGACGGGGAACUGGAGCCCGGCCUUCACGGACCGCGACACCGACUUCUUCCUGGGUCCGCCGGCCUUGCGCCCGGCCGCUCCCUUCUUCACCUUCCCGGUGGCUCCAGCUCCGCUGACGUCCAUGGCUGG
rnacentral:lncRNA from 1 species